rnacentral:lncRNA from 10 species
CAGGGCCCUGAGGGAAAACAAAUCAAUAAGAAGAAAAAAAUCAAUGGAAACAAGUAGUUCACAGAAAGUUGAACAAGUCUUUAGGUUCAAAGUACAGUUUGAUGGUUGGUUCCUGAACCUUGCUCAUUUCCACCAGCUGUUAAGGCUUGAGAAAUUUGGGAUAUGCAUCUCAUGUACAAUUAUACUGUUCUCUAUUUUAAAAGAUGCUGCAACUCACAGUGCUUGUAUUUUUGUGUUUAUUUCUUGCUAAAGAUAUCUUCGGAUAUAUAGCAUUUCGUACUUUUUAGCAGAACGAGUCGACCUGCAUUGAUUUGAGAUUCUGCCCGUCAGUAACUAAACGACCCUGAGGUGGAUCCUACAAAAGAAUGGCCUGUGAAGAGACAGACAAGUGCACAAGAGAGAAUGCACGUGAACAUGAAGAGGUGGGGGUGAUGCAUCCACAAGCCAAAGCGUGCUACAGAUAGCCCAAAAAUAUCAGAAGCUAGGAGAGAGGCCUGGAACUGGUUUUUCCUCUCAGCCCUCAGAAAGAACCAACCAACAUCCUGAUCUCAGACCUCUAGGCACAAGAACUGUGGAACAAUAAAUUUCUGUUUAAGCCACCCGGUUUGUGAAACUUUUUUAUGGCAGCCAUCACAAAUUAAUACAUGUAGUUACAUGAAAAUUUUAUUUUCUUUUAGAUGGAGUUGUGACAGCUACAUUUAUUAAAUUACGUUGCCUCCACUGAAAUGAAAUAUUACUUUUCUCAUACACUAAAUUUGUUAUUGAUGUAUAUAUAUAUUCUCAAAUAUAAAUAUAUAAAAUUCUACAUUCUCAAAUCUACCAGAAUCUGUUUUCUCUAUUCCAUGUUACUGACUUAUUUGUAUAUAUUCUUUUUUUUU